AAACCACACUGGUAGAUUACAUUGUAUCAAGUACUCAAGAACAUGUUAAGGCAUCCCAAAUGCUGGAUAUGCUUCAGUCUAUAUUGGAUGAUGAAGCUGAAAUGUUUGUGCUCAAGAUGUGGAGGAUGCUUAUCUUUGAAAUUAAGAAGGUGGAAACGGGUCUUGCUUUGAGGUCAAAAACAUAAAACUAGUUACUCAUUUGUUCCUGGAGUGCUGUGAGAUGGACAUUCUGGUUUCCGAGUAUUGUAGAACAAAGCACAGAUUGCAAUCAAGGUACAUUUUGCAAU
rnacentral:misc_RNA from 1 species